rnacentral:rRNA from 1 species
GAUGAACGCUGGCGGCGUGCCUAAUACAUGCAAGUCGAGCGAAUGGAUUAAGAGCUUGCUCUUAUGAAGUUAGCGGCGGACGGGUGAGUAACACGUGGGUAACCUGCCCAUAAGACUGGGAUAACUCCGGGAAACCGGGGCUAAUACCGGAUAACAUUUUGAACCGCAUGGUUCGAAAUUGAAAGGCGGCUUCGGCUGUCACUUAUGGAUGGACACGCGUCGCAUUAGCUAGUUGGUGAGGUAACGGCUCACCAAGGCAACGAUGCGGAGCCGACCUGAGAGGGUGGUCGGACACACUGGGACUGCGACGCGGCCCAGACUCGUACGGGAGGCAGCAGUAGGGAAUCUUCCGCAAUGGACGAAAGUCUGACGGAGCAACGCCGCGUGAGUGAUGAAGGCUUUCGGGUCGUAAAACUCUGUUGUUAGGGAAGAACAAGUGCUAGUUGAAUAAGCUGGCACCUUGACGGUACCUAACCAGAAAGCCACGGCUAACUACGUGCCAGCAGCCGCAGUAA